rnacentral:rRNA from 1 species
GAUGAACGCUGGCGGCAUGCCUAAUACAUGCAAGUCGAACGAGAGGAAGGAAAGCUUGCUUUCCUGAAUCUAGUGGCGAACGGGUGAGUAACACGUAGGUAACCUGCCCAUGUGCCCGGGAUAACUUCUGGAAACGGAUGCUAAAACCGGAUAGGUAGCAGACAAGCAUUUGACUGCUAUUAAAGUGGCCUUGGCCAUGAACAUGGAUGGACCUGCGGUGCAUUAGCUGGUUGGUGAGGUAACGGCCCACCAAGGCGACGAUGCAUAGCCGGCCUGAGAGGGCGGACGGCCACAUUGGGACUGAGACACGGCCCAAACUCCUACGGGAGGCAGCAGUAGGGAAUUUUCGUCAAUGGGGGGAACCCUGAACGAGCAAUGCCGCGUGAGUGAGGAAGGUCUUCGGAUCGUAAAGCCCUGUUGUAAGAGAAAAACGGCACUCAUAGGGAAUGAUGAGUGAGUGAUGGUAUCUUACCAGAAAG